GGAAAACCAAGAAGCUUGACCAUUUCCUUUGGACAAAUGCCAGUUAUUUUUCUAGUCGACGUUUUUUUUUUCUUGUUCUCUAAAAGCACAGAUUUACUCCAGUGCAUCGUACUUGAGCAAAUACCUAAUAAUGUAUACAUUGGUCUUUUGGCAGCUCAAAUACUACUGAAAUUUCAAUUAUGUACCUUUUGUAUAGGUGGUGCGGUUUCUUGAGUGUUUUAUGGAAUGAUGACUUCCGUCGUAUCAUAACACGAGCGGCUGUACCGAUUCUUGCAUUAGCACUUAAAAAAAUUAUGACUCCACGGCUAAUUGUAUGACAAUUAUUAUAUUAAGGAAGUCAAAGAAUUCAGUACCUCCAUUACAAUGUAACAUUGAUAGUGCAAGCCAUACUUGUUAAGAAGAAUGGACAUAUACGUUCAACAUGAGUAUGCAUUUUGAUUUUAAGUGUACGGGUUCAAUGUUUGUGACAUCAUUUAAAAUUUUGUUUUACCUACUUAUAUUUGUCAUAGUUAAAUAAUUACUGAUAUUUUCUUC
rnacentral:misc_RNA from 1 species